GAUGCUCAAUCUAUAUAUUGCAGAUAGUCCAACGACUAUUUACGAAUGUACCUAAAAUUAUGAUGGUGAUAUAUUUGGCAUUAUUCUAUUCACAAAUUUAUCUUGUAGAUGCCGCUUCAGUCAUUACGCAGCUAACAUAUUUGGCCUACACAGCCGUACAGUUGGUUAUACCUUCCGUUUUAGGCGAGUUGAUUGAAAGUGAAGUGGAAUCUAUAAGUUGCUUUCUGCACGCCAAGUUAGUGUCAAAAAUCGAUGAGAGCACAGAGAAUCAGAUAAUUUGCUUUGUGCGUUACAUAGAAGCGCGGCCGGUGAGACAGCGCGUGGGGCGCCAUCUACACGUGAACCUGAGUCUGCCGGUCUCCGUGCUCAGCUUUUGCGUCACUUACAUGAUCGUCGUCAUUCAGCUCACUCAUAUUGAUCUAUAAACUCUGUUAUAUUUUUAAAAUUCAUAUUAUGCAAUGUUAUUCUAGAAUUUAUUUCGAAAUGUUACUAACCUACAGAUUACAGUAUGUCUUUAUUGUUUGCCGGGUAGACAGGGCCAACGGUUGCGAGAGAAUCCAUAUUUAUUUGAAUCGAUAUGAUAUUAUUCACUAAAUAAAUUGUAUGACAAGAACUGCAAUGUUAUAUGGCUAUGCCAUUAUAUCAUUAGUCUUAUUACACGUUUAAAAAUACUAUUUGUUAAUAAUGACAAAAUAGACCCCGUGAUUCAUAUAAAAACUGAAGCAUAUUUUAGAGUAAACUAUGUUUUGUCACACACAUCGCACCUUACAAUAUUUGACAAUGACAGAACAAAACAAAACUUAGAUUAGCCUAAAAUAUGAUUUAGGUUUUUAGGAUUUAGGUAGAUGUGCUAACCACAAUCAAUUUAGGGUGUAUUGCACCAGUCAACUUGACAUUGACGUCAUUCAGACAAAAUGGUGUACGUUUUUCUACGUAGACUGAAGUUAACGUCAAGUUUGACUGGUGCAACUUGAACACUGACUUAUAUAUUAAUACAUCACCUUUAAAUUGUUUGUAUUUUCAUAAC